GAUGAACGCUGGCGGCGUGCCUAAUACAUGCAAGUCGAGCGAACGGACGAGAAGCUUGCUUCUCUGAUGUUAGCGGCGGACGGGUGAGUAACACGUGGAUAACCUACCUAUAAGACUGGGAUAACUUCGGGAAACCGGAGCUAAUACCGGAUAAUAUUUUGAACCGCAUGGUUCAAAAGUGAAAGACGGUCUUGCUGUCACUUAUAGAUGGAUCCGCGCUGCAUUAGCUAGUUGGUAAGGUAACGGCUUACCAAGGCAACGAUGCAUAGCCGACCUGAGAGGGUGAUCGGCCACACUGGAACUGACACGGUCCAGACUCCUACGGGAGGCAGCAGUAGGGAAUCUUCCGCAAUGGGCGAAAGCCUGACGGAGCAACGCCGCGUGAGUGAUGAAGGUCUUCGGAUCGUAAAACUCUGUUAUUAGGGAAGAACAUAUGUGUAAGUAACUGUGCACAUCUUGACGGUACCUAAUCAGAAAGCCACGGCUAACUACGUG
rnacentral:rRNA from 1 species